CUCUGGUAUGUAGCGAUUGGUCCGUGUCAAAUCUAUGUUUAGGAUUUUCAAGCAUUUUAUCUUUUGAAGGUAGCAGAUGCAGACAAAUUAGAAAAGUGCAAAUGGAAGAAUAAAAGAGAUUCCACACGGAAAUCAUCUACCGGCUUUUAAAGCAUUUGAACUGUGGCAUGUGAUACAUUACGGCAUAUUAGAGAUUGGAUUGACUUGUACCUUU
rnacentral:lncRNA from 1 species